rnacentral:rRNA from 1 species
CCGAAAGGCAGGAGUGCCUGCAAGGGAGCGCGGAGACAGGUGGUGCAUGGCUGCCGUCAGCUCGUGUCGUGAGAUGUUGGGUUAAGUCCCGCAACGAGCGCAACCCUCACCUCUUGUUGCCAUCAGGUCAUGCUGGGCACUCUAGAGGAACUGCCCCGGUCAACGGGGAGGAAGGCGGGGAUGACGUCAAGUCAUCAUGCCCCUUACGUCCUGGGCUACACACGUGCUACAAUGGCUGGUACAAAGGGAUGCCACACCGCGAGGUAGAGCUAAACCCAAAAAGCCGGUCUAAGUUCGGAUUGGAGUCUGCAACUCGACUCCAUGAAGGAGGAAUCGCUAGUAAUCGCGUAUCAGCACGACGCGGUGAAUACGUUCCCGGGCCUUGUACACACCGCCCGUCACACCACGAAAGCCAG